rnacentral:rRNA from 1 species
GUGUCAGCCGCCGCGGUAAUACAGAGGGUGCGAGCGUUGUCCGGAAUCACUGGGCGUAAAGGGCGCGUAGGCGGCCCGGCAAGUCAAUGGUGAAAGCUCGACGCUCAACGUCGAGUCGGCCACUGAUACUGCGGGGCUGGAGCACUGUAGAGGCAGAUGGAAUUCCGGGUGUAGCGGUGGAAUGCGUAGAGAUCCGGAAGAACACCGGUGGCGAAGGCGGUCUGCUGGGCAGUUGCUGACGCUGAGGCGCGACAGCGUGGGGAGCAAACAGGAUUAGAUACCCCAGUAGUCC